rnacentral:rRNA from 1 species
GACGAACGCUGGCGGCGUGCUUAACACAUGCAAGUCGAACGGAAAGGCCCUGCUUUUGUGGGGUGCUCGAGUGGCGAACGGGUGAGUAACACGUGAGUAACCUGCCCUUGACUUUGGGAUACCUCCAGGAAACUGGGGCUAUUACCGCAUAGAAGCUCUUGCUCCAUGUGGGGGGUUGGAAAGUUUCGGCGGUUGGGGAUGGACUCGCGGCUUAUCAGCUUGUUGGUGGGGUAGUGGCUUACCAAGGCUUUGACGGGUAGCCGGCCUGAGAGGGUGACCGGCCACAUUGGGACUGAGAUACGGCCCAGACUCCUACGGGAGGCAGCAGUGGGGAAUAUUGCACAAUGGGCGGAAGCCUGAUGCAGCAACGCCGCGUGCGGGAUGACGGCCUUCGGGUUGUAAACCGCUUUCGCCUGUGACGAAGCGUGAGUGACGGUAAUGGGUAAAGAAGCACCGGCUAACUACGUG